AAUGGGGUGCCUGAUAAAAGGGCUAUCUUGAUAGGGUAGAUUAUGUAAGUUAAUUACUCCCAUUA
rnacentral:tRNA from 1 species